rnacentral:misc_RNA from 1 species
AACGAGGCCGACCUGCGGCUGAGUUACCUGCGGAAGGAUCAUUAAUGUGAUGGAUGUGCUAGUCUUGACUUCUCAAUCCUCUUUUCAAUAGUAUUAUUGUUGAGUGGGGGCCUGACGGCUCGAGGAGAAGGGAAAUAAAAGCCCGUUUGGGUGUGCACUCCGAUACAAUAAUCCUCUUUACACCUUGUGCAUCUCAGCCUGCUGAACAAGAAGGAAAUGUUGAAUAACAUUCUUGAUUGG